rnacentral:lncRNA from 13 species
AUGGUUCAUUGUUGCAAAGGUUCCUUGUUUGACAAAGUGUUCAUUGAAUUGUAUGAAAACAUUAUAAUAAAUGAUCUUGCUUACCUAGUUGUUGAUGUCACUGAAGUCAAAAGGGUAGGAAGUGGUGUGGUGUUGGUAGUUGUUGAUGUCACUGAAGUCAAAAGGGUAGGAAGUGGUGUGGUGUUGGUAGUUGUUGCAGUGAUCGUUGGAGCAGCAGUUGUUGUAGUUAGGGCUGCAAUGGUCGCAGAUGCUAAAGCUGUUGUAGGAGCUGCAGUUGUCGUGGAAGCUACAGUUGUUGUAGGUGAUGUUGUUGUGGUUGUCAUAGGAGCUGAAGUUGUAGUUGUUGUAGAAGGUGCUGCAGUCACUCCGGUCGUUAGAACAGCAGUUGUUGUAGUGGGAGCUGCACUAGUUGUCGUAGUAGGUUGUGGAGUUGCAGUGGUCAUAGGAGCAGCAGUUGUUGUAGUUAGGGCUGCAGUGGUUGUCGUAAAUGCUAAAGCUGUUGUUGGAGCUGCAGUUGUCGUGGGAGCUACAGUUGUUGUAAGUGCUGUUGUCGUUGUUGUAGUAGGAGCUGCUCUGGUUGUCGUAGUAGGUUGUGGAGUUGCAGUGGUCAUAGGAGCAGCAGUUGUUGUAGUUAGAGCUGCAGUGGUUGUCUUAGAUGCUAAAGCUGUUGAAGGAGCUGCAGUUGUCGUGGGAGCUACAGUUGCUGAGGGUGCUGUUGUUGUGGUUGUCAUAGGAGCUGAAGUUGUAGUUGUUGUAGAUGGUGCUGCAGUCGUUGUUGUCGUAAGAACAGCAGUUGUUGUAGUAGAAGCUGCACUGGUUGUCGUAGUAGGUUCUGGAGUUGUAGUGGUCGUAGGAACAGCAAUUGUUGUAGUUAGGGCUGCAAUGGUCGUAGAUGCUAAAGCUGUUGUAGGAGCUGCAGUUGUCGUGGGAGCAACAGUUGUUGUAGGUGCUGUUGUUGUGGUUGUCGUAGGAGCUGAAGUUGUAGUUGUUGUUGAUGGUGCUGCAGUCGUUGUUGUCGUAAGAACAGCAGUUGUUGUAGAAGGAGCUGCACUUUUUGUCGUAGUAGGUUGUGGAGUUGCAGUGGUCGUAGGAGCAGCAGUUGUUGUAGUUAGAGUUGCAGUGGUUGUCGUAGAGGCAGCUGCUGUGGUUGAAGUAGAUGCUAAAGUUGUUGUAGGGGCUACAGCUGUCGUGGGAGCUACAGUUGUAGUAGGUGUUCCUGUUGUGGUUGUCGUAUGA